CUCAACAAUGCCGCCCGGCCAGAGCUGGGCACGUGAUCCGCCUCCUCAGCUUGCAGGCUGUGUGACCUUGGGAAAAUUACUUCAGCUCUCUGAGUCUGCUUCCUCAGCUGUCACACGAGGCUAAGGCUGCGUGAGUUAAAUGCUCUCUGCUAUGCCCUGGGAAAGCAGUAGAAGAUGGCCCAAGUGCUUGGGCCCCUGUACCUGUGUAGGAAACCCAAAGAAGCUCCUGGCUCCUGGCUUUGGAUCAGCUCAGCUCUGGCCAUUGUGGCCAUCUGGGGAGUGAACCAGCGGAUGAAAGACCUCUCUCUCUGCCUUUGCCUCUCUGUAAUUGUGCCUUUCAAAUAAAUCUUUUUAAAAAAUUCCCUUAUAA